UAACUUUUUAACACAAGGUCUUGGUCUUAAACCUCACGUUAUCUAGACUCCAUACUUAUACAUGCAAGCCUCAACAUGACAGUGAAACAGCCCACCACAACGCUCAACGGAGCCGGUAUCAGGCCAACCGCCUAUAACACCAAGCAGCCCUAAGCCACACCCCCACGGGUUCACAGCAGUAGUCAACAUUGGGCCAUAAGCGCAAGCUUGACCCAAUAAUGGAGUCCCAAGGGCCGGUUAAUCUCGUGCCAGCGACCGCGGUUACACGACAGGCCCAAGACAACACCACCGGCGUAAAGCACGACUAAAACUAACAAGUCAUCACAUUAGGGUAAAAAUCAGACUAGGCUGUAAAAAGCCAUAAGCCACACUAAACACACUCCCCCUAAUACACUAACAACUUCAACUCGUGAAAGCCAGGGCACAAACUAAGAUUAGAUACCUUACUAUGCCUGACCAUAACAAAACAAUCAAACAACCAAUUGUUCGCCAAAUAACUACGAGUAAAAACUUAAAAUUUAAAAGACUUGACGGUACUUCACACCGACCUAGAGGAGCCUGUCCAAUAACCGAUAAUCCACGAUUAACCCUACCAACUCUGGCCUAACAGUCUAUAUACCGCCGUCGCCAGCUUACCUUAUGAAAGAAACAAAGUAAGCCCAACAAUACCCCAUUAACACGACAGGUCAAGGUGUAACCAAUGAGUUGGACCAAGAUGGGCUACAUUUUCUAAACCAGAAAAAACGAACAGACUAUGAAACUAGAAACUGAAGGCGGAUUUAGCAGUAAGCUGGGAAUAAAUACGCCCAGCCGAAACCAACGCAAUGAAGUGCGCACACACCGCCCGUCAUCCCUGUAAACACACAACAUACACAUACAUAAAACCACCGUUCCCACCAAAGCAGGGCAAGUCGUAACAAGGUAAGCGUACUGGAAAGUGCGCUUAG
rnacentral:ncRNA from 1 species